rnacentral:lncRNA from 1 species
UCCAGUUUUUUCUCUGAGUUCAUCCUCUUCAACCUUUCUGAAAAACGCUUCUUCUUCCUUAAACCCUAAUCCUUCAAAAUCUCCAAAGUCUACUACAAUGUCUUUUGACAAGCAACAAAAACAGUCAAAGAACAUCAAAGGUGUUGGAUCUUCAAAGAGUUCCAUUUCCCAGAACAUUCCAACCAGCACAACCAUCACUGUUGGGGACCGAGAAUACAUCACUGCUCCAAAACUCUUGAAAGAACAGAAAGCAAUCUUCGUGAACAUUCCAACCAGCACAACCAUCACUGUUGGGGACCGAGAAUACAUCACUGCUCCAAAACUCUUGAAAGAACAGAAAGCAAUCUUCGCUUCUCAGGUAAUGGUUCCUUCUCUUCUUUCUGG